CAACCCUCAAGCUCUGCUUGGUAUUGGGCGACGUCUGCUGCUAGACGCGCCUGGAAGACCUCGGCGACGGCAUUCCAGCCUUGAGCGUAGUAGUAAAAUAUCUCGCUUUGGAGGAUGGGGUGACGGCUUGCCGGACAACCGACCUCUGGUCAUUUUUUCCAA
rnacentral:misc_RNA from 1 species